rnacentral:rRNA from 1 species
UGGGGAAUAUUGGACAAUGGGCGCAAGCCUGAUCCAGCCAUGCCGCGUGUGUGAAGAAGGCCCUAGGGUUGUAAAGCACUUUAAGCAGGGAAGAAAAAGCCCGGGUUAAUACCCCGAGGCCUUGACGGUACCUGCAGAAUAAGCACCGGCUAAUUCCGUGCCAGCAGCCGCGGUAAUACGGAAGGUGCAAGCGUUAAUCGGAAUUACUGGGCGUAAAGCGUGCGUAGGCGGUCACGUGUGUCGGGUGUGAAAGCCCCGGGCUUAACCUGGGAAUUGCACUCGAAACUGCGUGACUAGAGUGUGGUAGAGGAAGAUGGAAUUCCACGUGUAGCGGUGAAAUGCGUAGAUAUGUGGAGGAACACCGAUGGCGAAGGCAGUCUUCUGGGCCAACACUGACGCUGAGGCACGAAAGCGUGGGUAGCAAACAGGAUUAGAUACCCCCGUAGUCC